ACGUGUGUGAGCAUGUACAUGUGUUUAUAUGUCUGUGUGUGCAUGCAUUGCACAUGUAUGUGUAUACGUAUGUCUGUAUACAUAAGUGUACAUGUGUGUAU
rnacentral:miRNA from 1 species